rnacentral:rRNA from 1 species
GGAGGUCCCACCUGCCCAGUGACUAUAAGUUAAACGGCCGCGGUAUUUUGACCGUGCUAAGGUAGCGCAAUCACUUGUCUUUUAAAUGAAGACCUGUAUGAAUGGUAUAACGAGGGCUUAACUGUCUCCCUUCUCCAGUCAAUGAAAUUGAUCUACCCGUGCAGAAGCGGGUAUAAAAAUACAAGACGAGAAGACCCUUUGGAGCUUAAGACAAAAAGUCAACCGUGUUAAGAGCCUUUAACAAAAUAGGGCUAAACUAAACAGCAACUGACCAACGUCUUCGGUUGGGGCGACCACGGGGGAAAACAAAGCCCCCAUGUGGACUGGGACAUUCCUAAAACCAAGAGACACAUCUCUAAGUCACAGAACAUCUGACCUAAAGAUCCGGCCCACAAGCCGAUCAACGAACCAAGUUACCCUAGGGAUAACAGCGCAAUCCUCUUUAAGAGUCCAUAUCGACAAGAGGGUUUACGACCUCGAUGUUGGAUCAGGACAUCCUAAUGGUGCAGCCGCUAUUAAGGG